UGGGGAAUAUUGCACAAUGGAGGGAACUCUGAUGCAGCGACGCCGCGUGAACGAAGAAGGCUUUCGAGUCGUAAAGUUCUUUUAUAUGGGAAGAUAAUGACGGUACCAUAAGAAAAAGCCCCGGCUAACUACGUGCCAGCAGCCGCGGUAAUACGUAGGGGGCUAGCGUUGUCCGGAAUCACUGGGCGUAAAGGGUUCGCAGGUGGAAAUGCAAGUCAGGUGUAAAAGGCAGUAGCUUAACUACUGUAAGCAUUUGAAACUGCAUAUCUUGAGAAGAGUAGAGGUAAGUGGAAUUUUUAGUGUAGCGGUGAAAUGCGUAGAUAUUAAAAAGAAUACCGGUGGCGAAGGCGACUUACUGGGCUCAUUCUGACGCUGAGGAACGAAAGCGUGGGUAGCAAACAGG
rnacentral:rRNA from 3 species